CUAGGUCACUGUUCUAGUUUCUCAAAACAGGGAUGGUACCUGUGGACAAGCUCUGCUACUCAUGGCUUCACCCUGGAGCAGGGCUAGAAGGAUUAAAUGAAAGCACUGCUGGGCACAGUGUUGAUGUAUUUUUGUCAAAAUGAUGCAUCAUGCUCGACAGAUGUGCAUUGGUUGAACUAAAGGAAAAGAAGUCCGUCAGUGUCUGGAGAUCAGAACAGAAGAUACGACCAAAGGGAGGAAAGGGAGGAAUAUUCACAGUAUGCUUCUUCUGAUAGCGCAAUGCCUAGAUCUCCAUCAGGUUAUGCUGAUAGACGAUCUCAACGUGAACCUCAGUUUUAUGAAGAAUCUGAUCAUUUAAGUUAUAGGGACUCCAACAGGAGAAGUCGUAGGCAUUCCAAAGAAUAUAUUGUAGAUGAUGAGGAUGUGGAGAGCAGAGAUGAAUAUGACAGACAAAGGAGAGAGGAGGAGGAGUACCAGGCACGCUACCGAAGUGAUCCAAAUUUGGCCCGUUAUCCAGUGAAGCCCCAACCCUAUGAAGAACAAAUGCGUAUCCAUGCUGAGGUGUCCCGCGCCAGGCAUGAGAGAAGGCAUAGUGAUGUCUCUUUGGCAAAUGCUGAACUGGAAGAUUCCAGGGUUUCUCUGCUAAGAAUGGACCGACCAUCAAGGCAAAGAUCUAUAUCUGAACGCAGAGCUGCAAUGGAAAAUCAGAGAUCGUAUUCAAUGGAAAGAACUCAAGAGGCUCAGGGACAAAGUUCUUAUCCACAAAGGACCACAAACCAUAGUCCUCCUACCCCGCGGAGGAGUCCCAUACCCGUCGAUAGACCAGACCUGAGGCGUACUGACUCAUUAAGGAAACAGCACCACUUAGAUCCCAAUUCUGCUGUGAGGAAAACAAAAAGGGAAAAAAUGGAAACAAUGUUGAGGAAUGAUUCCCUCAGUUCAGACCAGUCAGAGUCAGUGAGACCACCACCGCCAAAGCCUCAUAAAUCAAAGAAAGGAGGUAAAAUGCGACAAGUUUCAUUGAGCAGUUCAGAGGAGGAAAUGGCUUCCACACCUGAGUAUACGAGUUGUGAUGAUGUUGAGAUCGAAAGUGAGAGUGUAAGUGAAAAAGCACCCUGUGACCUGGCAGCCAUCUAAAGAUGGAGAUCGCUUAAUUGGUCGUAUUUUAUUAAAUAAGCGUCUAAAAGAUGGAAGUGUACCUCGAGAUUCUGGAGCAAUGCUUGGCUUAAAGGUAUGUAAUAAAAUUCAUGAGAUCGGGGCCAGGGAUUUAGCUCAGUGGUUUCCCUGCCUGCUGUGCAAGCGCAAGGACCAGAGUUUGAUCCCUGGAACCCGCCCCCCCCCAAAAAAAUUCAUGAGA
rnacentral:lncRNA from 1 species